rnacentral:lncRNA from 1 species
AUUUUUCUGUGUGCUGUCCUGGGAAAAGAGAGGACCUCUGGGAGCUGUCACCCCAUGGGAGGCUGGCACAAUAUCUACCUGCUUUUCUGAUCAAACAUUCCCUGAAGUGUGGUAGAAGACAGGAAGAAUGACACUUGCUAAUUUGAAUUUCAGAACACACCUAAACCAUAUUCUGAUCUCCAGAUAUCAGAUUGAGACACAGUCUGGUCAACCAAAAUUUAGAAGUCUGAAUUCCUCAUAGAGUCAGUGAAAAGGGGUAAGCACCUCUGAAGGGUGACUUGUGCAAACUGUCAAGUGGGAGAUUAUGAGUAUGUACCAUUGUGUUUGCCUGCAGCCUAAAUAUAUCUGAUGAACAGUACUUCUAUCAGUUUCAUUGUAUGUUUACUAUUAGCAAUGCCAACUGGCAUAUUUUACGUAUGUGGCUUAAAGCAAAAAAUUUAAAGAAUUACCAGGAUUACUGGCAUGGAUACUUCACAG